rnacentral:rRNA from 1 species
UGCGACGGGUGAGUAAUGUCUGGGAAACUAGCCUGAUGAGGGGGAUAACUACUGGAAACGGUAGCUAAUACCGCAUAACGUCGCUAAAGACCAAAGAGGGGGACCUUCGGGCCUCUUGCCAUCGGAUGUGCCCAGAUGGGAUUAGCUAGUAGGUGGGGUAACGGCUCACCUAGGCGACGAUCCCUAGCUGGUCUGAGAGGAUGACCAGCCACACUGGAACUGAGACACGGUCCAG